CCUACGGGUGGCAGCAGUGAGGAAUAUUGGUCAAUGGACGAGAGUCUGAACCAGCCAAGUAGCGUGAAGGAUGACUGCCCUAUGGGUUGUAAACUUCUUUUAUAUGGGAAUAAAACGUUCCACGUGUGGGAUUUUGUAUGUACCAUAUGAAUAAGGAUCGGCUAACUCCGGGCCAGCAGCCGCGGUAAUACGGAGGAUCCGAGCGUUAUCCGGAUUUAUUGGGGUUAAAGGGAGCGUAGGUGGAUUGUUAAGUCAGUUGUGAAAGUUUGCGGAUCAACCGUAAAAUUGCAGUUGAAACUGGCAGUCUUGAGUACAGUAGAGGUGGGCGGAAUUCGUGGUGUAGCGGUGAAAUGCUUAGAUAUCACGAAGAACUCCGAUUGCGAAGGCAGUUCACUGGACUGCAACUGACACUGAGGCUCGAAAGUGUGGGUAUCAAACAGGAUUAGAUACCCCAGUAGUC
rnacentral:rRNA from 1 species